rnacentral:rRNA from 1 species
AACGAACGCUGGCGGCAGGCCUAACACAUGCAAGUCGAACGCACCGCAAGGUGAGUGGCGCACGGGUGAGUAACACGUGGGAAUGUAUCCUUUGGUUCGGAAUAACGUCUGGAAACGGACGCUAAUACCGGAUGAGCCCUUAGGGGGAAAGAUUUAUCGCCAAAUGAGCAGCCCGCGUCUGAUUAGGUAGUUGGUGGGGUAAAGGCCUACCAAGCCGACGAUCAGUAGCUGGUCUGAGAGGAUGAUCAGCCACACUGGGACUGAGACACGGCCCAGACUCCUACGGGAGGCAGCAGUGGGGAAUAUUGGACAAUGGGCGCAAGCCUGAUCCAGCCAUGCCGCGUGAGUGAUGAAGGCCUUCGGGUUGUAAAGCUCUUUCGCACACGACGAUGAUGACGGUAGUGUGAGAAGAAGCCCCGGCUAACUUCGUGCCAGCAGCCGCAGUAAUAC